GUUCUGGUAGCAUAGCUGGAUAAUGCACCAACCUCCUAAGUUGAAGAUCGGCGGUUCGAAUCCGCCCCAGAACGCCA
rnacentral:tRNA from 1 species